rnacentral:sRNA from 1 species
ACGACAAUACAAAAGUUUUAGACAAUGGAAGUUUGGUGCAAAUCCAACGCGGUCCCGCCACUGUAAUAGACUGUAGGAUCAGUCUUAAGUCAGGUCGUUUGUCUAGAAACUUUGAGAAAACUAACCAUUUCGAGGCGAAAGUGGCUGGUUUACA